rnacentral:misc_RNA from 1 species
GCAAUAGAUUAAAAGUUACCAUCUGAUAAAAGACAAUAAAACAGAAGCAGUAAGCACUAUUCCAAGAAGGGAAAAAACCACAGCACAAAAGCAUCCAGAAACUGAGGUUUUUAUUAUCGAACGAUUAUAGAGCUCCCCAAGAAAUUCACACAGUCAACAAAAGAAUACAAAAAGGGAAAAGUGAGUAGAAACCCCAAUUUUGGCACUCCACUACACCAUUCUCACAUUACACUAUGACCCACUGAAG